rnacentral:pre_miRNA from 1 species
AUAAUACUCCCUCCGUCCGGAAUUACUUGUCAUCAAAAUGGAUGUGUCUAGAACUAAAAUACAUCUAGAUACAUCCAUUUCAAUGACAAGUAUUUUUGGACGGAGGGAGUAUUAG